CUUAAUCCUGUGAUCUUUAAUUCUUUAGGGGUGAAAUCACUGUGGUCAUUCUCAAACCUAAAAUGUUAUCCCAAUCAGCACUAUUCAAUAUAAAUGUAAUGCAAGUCACACAUGUAAUUUAAGUUUUUAUCCUAGCCAUACUGGAAAAGUUAGAGAAAUGAAUAAAAUUAAUUUUAAUAAUAUAUUUUACUGUAUAUAUUCAAAAUAUUAUGUUAACAGGUAAGCGAGAGAAUGAUGAAGAUAUAUUGCAUUUUAUAAUACUAACUCUGAAAUCUGGUGUGUAGUUUACAUUUACAACACACCUUAAUUUGACCUAGCCACAUUUCAAGUCCUGAGCAACUUGUGGCCACUAAUGAUGAUAUUAGGCUGCAUAGACAUAAACCUGAAAAUAGUCUUGUUAUUUCUUGUAAAAUAGACACAGAGAGAGAGAGAGAGAGAGUGGGUGAGUGUAAUAAAACGUGGAGAAUUCUCAGAUCAAUAACUUUGACAUUUUUCCAUGAUGAUACUGUGGAUAUUUUUUAUGUGAACAUAGAAUGACACAGAUGUGCACACACACACCCCUCCAAUGUUGCACAGAAACAAACCAUAUCCAAACUCCACAGUUAAUUGAUAAUUCCAAUGCAAUGCGAGUAUUUCUAUCUUAGUUAUAAAUGGAUUUUAAAAAUUAACCAUGAUAUAUUGAAUAUAGAUUUUAAACUUAACUGUGUUCUUGUCAUCCUUUGCUAUUAAACUAUAUUUAUGCAGUAAUUACAACAAAAUUUGAUUUGGUCAUACCUGAUACUCUACCUUUUAUUCUCAUUUACUUUGAAAUAGAAAUUGCAUACAUAUAGUGUGGAGCUUGUUAAGUUUAAGCAAAAAUUAUCAGAUAGUUUAGUUUAUUAACAACAAAUGUCUGUUCAGCAUUUUCUGUGUCAUGUAGAACAGAAAUGAUUAAAACAGCAAGCUUACGAUGUUGUAGGGAAAGAUGAUUUAGGGUAGAAAUCAUUAAAUGCAACUCAAAGAAAACACAAUUUUUUGUUUCUUUUUCGGGAUGAAGUCUCACUUUGUCGCCCAGGCUGCAGUGCAGUGGCGCCAUCUAGGCUCACUACAGCCUCCGCCUUCUGAGCUCAAGUGAUUCUCCCAUCUCAGCCUCCCGAGUAGCUGGGUUUACAGGUGUGCACCACCAUACCCUGCUAAUUUUUGUAUUUUUAGUAGAGACAGGGUUUCACCAUGUUGGCCAGGCUGAUCUUGAACUCCUGACUCAGGUGAUCCACCCACCUCAGCCUCCUAAAGUGCUGGGAUUACAAGUGUGAGCCACCACACCUGGCCCAAAAUUCUUUUUUAAAAUGAAUUUAACUGGCUAAGGAAUGAGACCUCAAAAAAAACCAAACAAAGAAAAACCAUCUGAUGACUCGCCAUGCCUGGGUGUAAAGAAUGAGACCUCAAAACUAUUUAUGGGAGAUUGUAAUUAACCUAGGAU
rnacentral:lncRNA from 1 species